GACAGAGGCCUCAAGCGUUAGGCGGAAUCACUGGGCUUAAAGCGUGUGUAGGCGGAUCGUUAAGUACCUUGUGAAAUCCCACGGCUCACCCGUGGAACUGCUGGGUAUACUGGCGAUCUUGGGCCAACUAGGGGCAGCUGGAACAAGCGGUGGAGCGGUGAAAUGCGUAGAUAUCGCUUGGAACGCCGAAGGUGAAAACAGGCUGCUGGGGUUGUGCCGACGCGUGAGACACGAAAGCCAGGGGAGCAAACGGG
rnacentral:rRNA from 1 species